rnacentral:rRNA from 1 species
AGCAGUAGCCGCGGGAACACGGAGGGAGCUAGCGUUGUUCGGAAUCACUGGGCGUAAAGGGCGCGUAGGCGGACAGUUCAGUCGGGGGUGAAAGCCCGGGGCUCAACCUCGGAAUUGCCUCCGAUACUGGCUGUCUUGAGUAUGAGAGAGGUGUGUGGAACUCCGAGUGUAGAGGUGAAAUUCGUAGAUAUUCGGAAGAACACCAGUGGCGAAGGCGACACACUGGCUCAUUACUGACGCUGAGGCGCGAAAGCGUGGGGAGCAAACAGGAUUAGAUACCCCUGUAGUCCCUGUCUCUUAUAA